UAUUACUUCUAGUGCAACCUAGAACUCCACACGUUCUGUUAUCCAUUCUCCCGAUGAUGGCACAGAGAUUGCCUGGUCGGAAGGCUGUUUCACAGGGAAUAGGGUCCUCAAUCCAGUCCAGUCCAGUUUACAUAUAAAUUCAGUUCUUUGUGUUCCACCAACGUGGGGAACAAGGAAAAUUUGUCCCUGUCAUUAUUAGACAGCUAAGCGGCCUCUGCCUGCCCUUGAUUUGGUGGAGUAAAGGAAGGGGAAGAGAAUAGGAACUGCUGAAUUCAUCUUUCUCUGCUCACUUAACACCUUCGAGAGGGGCGCCAUGCGUUUUAAACAAAUGGGCCAUUCCAAGAGAAUCUUUCAAGGUCAUUUCUCCAGGCUGAGCCCAUUCGAAAACACAGCUGGAAAUAUAGGUUAUGUCUUGAGUACUGUGAUAUUCAGGGUCAAGGACCAGGCAUUGCAAUAAUCCACAUAGCUGGUGAUGUCAACCAAGAGGAAUUUAUGCUGUCAACUGCCCAGACAAAGAUGCAUAUCAUCGCUGAAGCUUCUCAACACACUUCUCUCUCUUGCUUUGUUUGGGGAGGAAGGUCUCUCAAUGAGCAGGGACACUGACAAUUUCGAUUUUGAAAUUGGAUAUGGGAAAAUCAGGAUAAGCAAUAUAAAUACCUAGUGCUUCUUUGUUGACUGUUGACUGGUACUUCCUAUGCCUGAGUAUCAAGACUGUGUUGAUGAGUAACUUGCAUGAAUAAGAAGACUGAGGUUAAGAAAAAUGGACUCUGCCACUCAAAGCCAUGGGACCUUCAACAGCUGUUCUCCAGUGAGCUGGGCUCACCAAAGUCACCCUGGAGCCUGCAUUUGCUGAAGAGACCCAACUUGCCCCACAUCAAAGGCGCUAUCUUCUCCCCAUAAACCAUCUCUCUUUCCCAGCAUCUUUGCCUACUAAUGGCUCACUCACUACAUUUCCUUUGAAUCCAGACCUGGACCCAGGGCCUUGCCGGCCAUUGAUCUCAGAGCCAAGUUCUUGUGGGGAAGGCAAUGAGGAGGACAGAAAUGUUGCCUCUCCUGGAUGAUGUAUGCAUGCAUGUGAAGCCUGGAACUAAAGAAGACACUAGAUCUUUCCUUGAUGACAUGGGACACUGGACUUUACAGCCUCCUCUGCCUCCACAUCCCUGCACCUGUCUUCCAACAUCUGAGGAUUCUACAAAUAUCUGGAGACGCCAACAGGCCUGCCACCCGGCCCACAGACUCUGGAGCAAUGAACACCCCCGGGGAAGUGGAGAUCUGAACUCUGCCUCCAACUGUGAACGGGGGUUUAGUUGGGGGUAGUUCAAGUCAGAGGAGACGAGAGUGCCUGGCAAGAAAAGACACAAUGAAAAGAGAAGAUGAUGGCAGGGACAUAGGGUAUGGGGGCAAAGAAGUCUGGAGAGGCGGCAGUCUGGGGCCUAAGUGGGGCAGUGGGAGGUGAGGGUGGGGGGUGCAUGGCCCCCUAGGCCAGCACAGGCGUUUGGGUUGUGGCCUGUGCCCGGUGGAGGCUCCUGACCAUUCUUAAGCAAGGAUGUAGCAUUCUGUAAUUUCCAACGAAAAGGGCAGUUUUAAUGGUCAUAGAAGGAUGUUAUGGUUAUUAUAGAGAAUUGGAAAGAUACAGAAAAUAUCGAAAAAACAUAAAGAAGCAAAAAUGAGAAAACGCAAAUCUUGUGGCCUAGAGGUAAACAUUGAUAAUGUUAUUGCAUUCCCUUCUUAUUCUUUCCCUCCCUCUCGCACCCUACCUCCCUGUAACGAGUGCUCACUAUGUACAAGGUAUUGUUGUAAGACCUCUGCUCAGUUGAUCCUCACGACAGCCCUGUGUCGAAGACAAAGUAAUUUUCUGCACUUACAGAUGGGGGAGCGUUAAGAAGCUUCUCUGGGCUUCGGACCAGAGGGCAGGCUCUGAACCCCCGGGGCCACAUUGCUGCUUGACGGUCACGUGGUCAACACAAACACACGUGUACGUAGAGAAAGGUAAAAUUUUUGUUUAAAAUGGAGUCUGGCAUUCUAAUCUUCUGAAUUGGGGUUUUAAAAAGAAUUUUGAUGGG